rnacentral:tRNA from 1 species
GCCCGCGGUGGCUCAGAUGGAUAGAGCGUCUGCCAUGAAAGCAGGAGGUCCCGGGUUCGAGUCCCGGUCGGGGCA